UAUCCAAGUGUAAAUUCCUAAAUACUUGGGAGGCACUCGUUUGGGUUGAAACGUGGCGUGAAUUGGUGUUGGUACUUGCUACUUGACUACAUCAACUACAUUAGGACUCAGGUUGUGUGAUUCUGAUUCUCCGUUUUCCACUUCCACGUUGACGGUCAAAUUUUACUCAUCUCAAUCUUUGAAACCCAUUCUGCACCGUCAUUCUUUGAUUUUCCACUCCCACCUUCACCUUCUUCUCCCGCUUCUCUCUCUCUCUCUCUCUCUCUCUCCAUGGAUAUGCAUUUUUAUGCUUCAUCAAAGGCAAAUAACUUUGCCAAAACCGACUCCUACAUUUUCCCCUCUCAAAGUUUGCAUUUUUAGGGUCUUCUUAUAAUCUCAUGGACUUGCAACCUAAAACCGAACCUGGUUCACCUCCGAUCCCCGCUUCUUCUAGCAACCAUGGAAGCUUGAACGAGCUGAGCACUUCGGAGCUCUUCUCGGGUUUACGCACCAACUGUGAUAAAGUUGAAGAGGUUUUGUUGGCCAGAGAUGCCAAACACAAAGCGGAGAUUGAUUCCCUCGUUGUGAAGUAUGAAUUGGAGAUGCUACAGAGGCUUCACACUGAAGAUCAACUGAAGAAGAAAGAGCAACAGUAUCAGAAUUUGGAGACAAAAUGGUUGGAUGAUAACAAUGCCAUUGCUGCACUUAGGAUCAGAUGCAGUGAAUUGGAGGAUGAAAAUAAGAAGAAUUUGGAGAUCAUUCAGAAACUGAAGGAUGAGAACUACAGAUUGGAAAAAGAGAAAAUCAAUGAAGAUGCAAGGGCUUUGAAUGAAAUUGCUGUUCCUGAUUCUCCUCCUUUCAAAAGAAAGAAAGGUGUUGGACACUGCAUUGGUGAAUCAGAUAUUAAUAGACUGAACGAGAAAUGGCACAUUGCUGGAGCACUCGACUUUGAGAGAUAUCGACUAUUACUUCCUAGGCGGAGUAGUCACACUAUGUCUCCACCAGAGGUACCUUUGCCAUUUCUCAAGGAGGCUCAUUUUGGAGACGCUAUCCAGCUUAAGGACUUUAUCUUUGACAAUACCUUAAUAUCUGCAUUUGUUGAGAGAUGGAGGCCGGAGACACACAUUUCAUCUAUCAUGGGACAAGUCGAACAUUCUUGUCCAUAUUCGGUGGCUCCCAUUGCUAGCAGACUUCGAUAGAUGCCGACAGAUGUCAUGGGGAUUGGCAGUGCUUGCAUGGACGUACCAUUCUCUUUGUAGGGCGAUCCACCGCGAUGUGACAGACAUUGUUGGAUGCAUCCCGCUCUUGAUAUCUUGGAUAUACCACAGGUUCCCUCAAUGGGGACCUAGCGACAGAGAUGUUGGUCGGUCUAGGGCAGCAGAGCAGGGACCACCACGAGGGGAGGCUGCUGAGAUGGCGACACAGGUUGGACACCGUGUGUUUUGAUCAGUUCCGAUGGACACCCUAUGACCGACCUGAGUUGCAGGCUUUGUGUCCUGACUGGUUGAGGAGUGGGCAUGAGAUCCACACAUGGAGGGCGGUUGUGCCACUAGUUUGCUUCAACUUUGUCGAGUUUCAUAUUGACAGAGUUAAAAGGCAGUUGGGGUCAGACCAACAGAUUCCUGAGGAUCCUGUCAAUGUGGACAAAUACUUAUCUACUACGGCACGAGGGGAUGAUGUAUGGUGGCCUGAGGUGCUUCGAGAGUGGUACGAUCGAUGGAGAGCUCGUCAUCAGCCAUGUCACAUGAUUACAAUCACACCUGAGCCUAAUCCCCGUCUCACACAGGAGUAUUUUAAUUGGUGGCUUGAACAAUGUCGCGUUCGGUUCUUGUCUGUUGAUGACAUCCUAGCCGAUCCCAGACUCGCAAAAUUGUCAAAUGAUGUUCCACCUAGACACAAGGCAACUCGCGGAGAAGAUCCACUACCCGAGAGCUCGGAUAGUGCAUCUAGAUGUGGAGUCGGAAGAGGAGGAGGAGGAAGUGGAGUAUCAACAUCAUGACAAGUUUUAGGACUUGAUUCUUCUAGUGUUUCCACAACAUUUAAAUUUAUUUUAUUUAUUUAAAAAAAUCAAAUUUAUUUUGUCUGUGGUUUCGUUUUCUAUAGGGCUAAUAAUAUGUCUUCUAAAAUAGAAGUCACAACAUAUAAAAAUAACUACCUAGAUUCUAAGAA